rnacentral:lncRNA from 1 species
UGCCCCGCGCCGGGCGGGCUCCGGCUCCAGCGUCAGCCCCGCGCCCCCAGCGCCGCGACACCUGCCCCGGGGCCGGGAUGCAGGAGUUUGCAGCAUCUUUAUUGUGUAUGGAACCUCUGCCUGAGCUGAACCCAAAAUCUCAAAACAUAGUUCAGUCAAAGGUGGUGAGUUUGAUAUGGAUGUGUAUCCAAAUCACAAGUUACAAUGCAGGAUUGUCAGUGGGUCCCAGCAAUGCUCAGAAGAGUUUCAGACCUUUUCAGAAACCCAGGCUAAAGUCAGCUGAAGUGCUGAAUCCUCCGAACCAGGUAUGUUUUCUCAUUUCAAUUUUGGGACCAUGUUGUAAAUGUCAUGCAUCUCAAAUAUUUAGCCCAUGCAGCAGUUACAGCAUGUGAUGGCAGCACUGGGAUUUUGGGAAAAGAGAGGGAAGGUUGUUUAUCUAAUUAUAGGUAACUGAGUUUUCAGUGUCAAUAAUCUGAUUAAUGUUCCACAACCUUGCAGUAGUUCUUAUACCCAGGAAUCAUGGAGCUUCUCUUUGUUUCAAAGGGGGAAAACUCCUGUCUGGAAGGGGGUGUGAAACAAGAUGCUUCUGGAUUACUAAAAGGCAGAAAACUUUGCUAUUGCCAGUAAAAAGCCUUCCUCCCAUAGUGCCGUUCACCCUGCAAUAUCCAAGCAUGUGUCACAAAUGCAUAUGCACUAAUGAUAAUACCUAGCUCUUAGGCUUUCCAUCAUCAGAUCUCAAAACACUUGACCCAGGAGGUCAGUAUCAUCACCCCCAAGUUAUGGAUGGAGAAGCUGAAACUUGGGGAGGUGAAGUAAUUUGCCCAAAGUCAUGCAGCAGAUCAGAGGUCAGGGUGGGAAAUAGAACCCAGGCCCCUUGAAUCCCUGUUCAGUGUUUUAUCCAGUAAACUACACUUCCUCUGUUAGGCUCACAUCACGUACCUCUGAAGUGGAACAUAGGAGCUAUUCAGCAGAGAGACAGUUUGGGACGGAAGGUGGGGGGAAAGGUCCCCAACAGAAAUUUCAGGAAGAAUGUGGCAAGUCAGGAAGAAUAUGACAAGUUAUUGCUCACACUGGCAUUUAGCCAAACUAACACUCCUACGCUAUAAGAAGUGCAUGUUGUCUUUAAUGACCACAAGUGUGGUCAGGCUUUCGUUUAUCUCAUCUGAAAGGCAGCAUGUCCAGCGGGUCACCAUCCGCUAAUGUUAUGAUUGAACCUGGUUCAGUACUGACUCAGAGGAAAGAGUGCCACUGACUAAGUCACCCACAUCACUUCCUGCAGCACCCUGGGUUUUCCUUGGAGUACUGACCAGACCCAACACUGCCUAGAUGGUGAGAUCAGAUGAGAUCAUGAUGUGAAGUGGUCUGGCUGCAGUUAAGUAUAGAGGCAUAUUGAAAAAAGCAAUGCUCCUAGUAAAUGCUGGGAGGUUUUCUGAAUGAUUGGGUCUUGGGUUACAGAUCUCAAAAACAAGAAAUCUUCUUUAACUGACCUGGUAAUAAUAAUAGGGUUUUAAAAGUAUUUGUUUGGCCAGUGCUGACUACAUGCUUACACAGUUAGCCCUGGCCUGGGAAAGAUCUAAACCACAAUGGCUAAGUAUAGAGGUCUCUAAAAUAUCUUCAUAUAUACAGUGCCUGAAUACACAAACACAGCCAGUCUCUCUUCUGCCUACAGAAGCAAUAUUUUUCCAUAAAAUUUGUAUUGACAGAGGUUUUCCCCUGGAGUUAGGCUUCUCUAAUAAUAUAAAAAGCUUCCAGAAUUGUAUCCUUCUGCUGAACCCCAUUUCAGCCCUCCGUUUGAACCCAAUAUAAGCAAUGUCAUCUCUUUCUGAGGAACAAAUAAAGCACUUUUCAUUCUGCGGUGGAAUAGCUCC